rfam:Conidiobolus coronatus NRRL 28638 unplaced genomic scaffold CONCOscaffold_141, whole genome shotgun sequence.
GCGCUAGUAGUAUAAUGGUUAGAAUACUCGCCUUCCAAGCAAGUGGUCUGGGUUCGAUUCCCAGCUAGCGCA